GGAAUAUUGGACAAUGGGGGCAACCCUGAUCCAGCCAUGCCGCGUGAGUGAUGAAGGCCUUCGGGUUGUAAAGCUCUUUUGGCGGGGACGAUGAUGACGGUACCCGCAGAAUAAGCCCCGGCUAACUUCGUGCCAGCAGCCGGGGUAAGACGAAGGGGGCGAGCGUUGUUCGGAAUUACUGGGCGUAAAUCGCGUGUAGGCGGUUUUCCAGGUUGGGUGUGAAAGCCUUGGGCUUAACCCAAGAAAUGCACUCAGUACUGGAAGACUAAAGGACCGGAGAGGAUAGUGGAAUUCCCAGUGUAGUGGUGAAAUACGUAGAGAUUGGGAAGAACACCAGUGGCGAAGGCGGCUAUCUGGACGGUUUCUGACGCUAAGACGCGAAAGCGUGGGGAGCAAAC
rnacentral:rRNA from 1 species